CAUCCAUAUAUCUCCCUGCAAUGCAUUCAUAUUUUCUGGUCUUACGUCAGAGUAGCAUAUCUGAACAGAGCAUAGAAUGGUAAAGGAUAAGAACACUUUCAUGAUGGUGAAUCGGUAGGGUGCACUUGUUUGCAGUGGCUGGCAUGUAUCCAUGUGGGAUUGCUUUACAGUUUUCCAAUACUUGGAAGGGACCAUCAAAUCUUGGCUCAAGUCCUUUUC